AUGAUCUGGCAUGUACAUAAUGAAAUAUUCAUUCUCGAUUCUAUAAUUUUUAUGAAAAUGUUUCAUUUGCUUCUCUUCAAUGGAAGUUUCAUUUCCUCACAAUGUAUCCUAUUUGGCCUAAUCCUUCUUUUGAUGAUCGAUUUAACCUCUGGUAAAAAAGAUAGACCUUGGUUCUAUUUAAUCUCUUCAACAAGUUUAGUAAUAAGUAUAAUGGCCUUAUUGUUCUGACAGAGAGAAGAACCUAUAAUUAGCUUUUCGAAAAAUUUUCAAACAAACAGUUUCAACGAAAUCUUUCAAUUUCUCAAUUUAUUAUGUUCAAGUUUAUGUAUUCCUUUAUCCGUAGAGUACAUUGAAUGCACAAAAAUGGCUAUGACAGAGUUUUUGUUAUUCACAUUAACAACUUGA
rnacentral:rRNA from 1 species